UUAAGUUACUAAGAGCCAACGGUGGAUGCCUUGGCGCCAGAAGCCUAAGAAGGACGUGACAAGCUGCGAAAAGCCGCGGGGAGGGGCAAAUACCCAUUGAGCCGCGGAUGUCCGAAUGGGGCAACCUUCAUCAGUGCAGCUGAUGAAUCUUGAGAUGAAUACAUAGUCUCAAGAAGGGAUACCAGGGGAACUGAAACAUCUUAGUACCCUGAGGAAAAGAAAGAAAUCUCGAUUCUCUGAGUAGUGGCGAGCGAAAGGGGAAGAGCCUAAACCGAUACGGCGUGAUAGCCUGCAGGCGUUUCCGUAUUGGGGUCGUGGGACCCGCAAGUUGCCGUUGCAGAGGCAGCAUGAAGUUACAAAGUACAACUAUAAUUGAACAGUCUGGAAAGAUUGGCCAUAGACGGUGAAAGCCCGGUAAAUGAAAUGGUUGUGUCUUCAAGCGAAGUCCCGAGUACUGCGGAACCCGAGAAAUUCCGUGGGAAUCUGCGUCGACCAUGACGUAAGGCUAAAUACUAACUGGCGACCGAUAGCGUAAUAGUACCGUGAGGGAAAGGUGAAAAGUACCCCGAGAGGGGAGUGAAAUAGAACCUGAAACCGUUUGGUUUACAAUCAGUUGAAGAGUGGCCGUGGCGCAGCGAUGUUUUGCGGUCUCUCAACAGCGUGCCUUUUGUAGAAUGAUCCGGCGAGUCACAGUGCGCGGCAAGGUUAAGGACUUAAGGUCCGGAGCCGAAGCGAAAGCGAGUCUGAAUAGGGCGAUUAAGUUGCGCAAUGUGAGCCCGAAACCGUGGCGAGCUAUGCAUGAGCAGGAUGAAGCCUAUGUAAGAGUAGGUGGAGGUCCGAACCGUUUAGCGUUGAAAAACUAUCGGAUGACUUGUGUAUAGAAGUGAAAAGCUAAUCGAGCACGGAAAUAGCUGGUUCUCCCCGAAAUACCUUUAGGGAUAGCCUCGGGAAGAGUUUAAUGGUGGUAAAGCACUGAAUGGGCUAGGGGGUUUAACGAUCUACCAAACCCAAUCAAACUCUGAAUGCCAUUAAAUAUACCCGGGAGUCAGACAGUGAGGGAUAAGCUCCAUUGUCAAGAGGGGAUCAGCCCAGACUAUCGAUUAAGGUCCCCAAAUCCAUGUUAAGUGUUAAAGGAUGUUUAAUUACACAGACAACCAGGAUGUUGGCUUAGAAGCAGCCACCAUUUAAAGAGUGCGUAAUAGCUCACUGGUCGAUGUGAUUAUGCGCCGACAAUGUCAGGGGCUAAACAUGGUACCGAAAUCAUAGAAUUAUCGCAAGAUAAUUGGUAGGGGAGCGUUGUAUUGUAGGCUGAAGCAGUACCUGCGAGGGGCUGUGGACGAAAUACAAGUGAGAAUGCCGGAAUUAGUAGCGAAAAACAAGGUGAAAAACCUUGUCGCCGAAAGUCUAAAGGUUCCUGAGCAAGGUUAAUCCGCUCAGGGUUAGUCGGUACCUAAGCCGAGGCGAGAAGCGUAGGCGAUGGAAAGCAGGUUUAUAAUCCUGUACCGCGAUUAUUGUGUUUGAGAAGAGGGGGGACGCAGGAAGGAAACUUCUGCCUACCCAUGGACAUGGUGGGUCCAAAGCCGAAGUGAGGCUGCGUAGGAAAAAACGCGCGGCUAUUCAUGAGGGUAAGUAAGAAAGGGGCUACGGCCCCGAUAGAAGCGGCACUACACUGCCGGGAAAAGCCCCGGGCUUCGAAUAAUAAUUGCGACCGUACUCUAAACCGACACAGGUGGACUGGGAGAAAAUCCUAAGGCGCUCGAGUGAAUCCAGGUUAAGGAACUAGACAAAUUGGCCCCGUAACUUCGGAAUAAGGGGUGCCCAAAGUACGUGUAAUAUAUCAGCAAUGGUCAUAUGAAGCGGAACCGGGUUACAAUAAAGAGGUUCAACCGACUGUUUAACAAAAACACAUGACUCUGCUAAGCCGUAAGGCGCUGUAUAGGGUCUGACACCUGCCCAAUGCUGGAAGGUCAAGAGGAGGGGUUAGCCGCAAGGCGAAGCUCUGAAUUUAAGCCCCAGUCAAUGGCGGCCGUAACUAUAACGGUCCUAAGGUAGCGAAAUUCCUUGUCGGGUAAGUU
rnacentral:rRNA from 1 species